rnacentral:rRNA from 1 species
ACUCCUACGGGAGGCAGCAGUGGGGAAUAUUGCACAAUGGGCGCAAGCCUGAUGCAGCCAUGCCGCGUGUGUGAAGAAGGCCUUCGGGUUGUAAAGCACUUUCAGUUGUGAGGAAGGUGGUGUCGUUAAUAGCGGCAUCAUUUGACGUUAGCAACAGAAGAAGCACCGGCUAACUCCGUGCCAGCAGCCGCGGUAAUACGGAGGGUGCGAGCGUUAAUCGGAAUUACUGGGCGUAAAGCGCAUGCAGGUGGUUUGUUAAGUCAGAUGUGAAAGCCCGGGGCUCAACCUCGGAACUGCAUUUGAAACUGGCAGACUAGAGUACUGUAGAGGGGGGUAGAAUUUCAGGUGUAGCGGUGAAAUGCGUAAGAGAUCUGAAGGAAUACCAGUGGCGAAGGCGGCCCCCUGGACAAAGACUGACGCUCA